rnacentral:rRNA from 1 species
UACAGAGGUCUCAAGCGUUGUUCGGAUUCAUUGGGCGUAAAGGGUGCGUAGGUGGCGCGGUAAGUCGGGUGUGAAAUCUCGGAGCUUAACUCCGAAAUUGCAUUCGAUACUGCCGUGCUCGAGGACUGGAGAGGAGACUGGAAUUCAUGAUGUAGCAGUGAAAUGCGUAGAGAUCAUGAGGAAGACCAGUGGCGAAGGCGGGUCUCUGGACAGUUCCUGACACUGAGGCACGAAGGCCAGGGGAGCAAACGGG